rnacentral:lncRNA from 1 species
AUGUGAGACAUUUGAUCUGAGACGUUUGAAUGAGAGUGUGCAGGCUGCUCUCACUCCGAAGAACUUUCCUGCCCAGAUGAUCCAGCUUCCCCAAAACUCCUGCACAUAUGACAGCAAAGUGUGCACAAGAAGAGAGCAAUUUCCCUUUUUGAUAAUGCUCUUAGUCUUCAUUGGUCCCUGUAGCAAAUGAUUGUGGUUCUUUACACACUUCCUGUCUUGCUGGAAUUCAUCCCAUAAGAGGCUGAAUAAUCGCUUGUAGAAUGUUUUUAAGGAAAAAUGUCUCCACCUGAUCACUGAGUUUCCAUGAGCUUCACAGCUCACUGAAUCUCAUAAAAGUUAUUUAAAUGUAUGAAAAUUGUACUUAUGCCCUGACUGUUGUGCAAGAUCUUUGUUCUAGCUAGUGUGUCCUCUGCAUUAUGGAUCGUCUUAUAACAAACUUGAUGUCAAAACAGAGAGACACACAUUGUUUAUUCUCAGCCAAGAAAUCAGCUAUAACACUACUCUUGAAGAAUCUCCAUGUGUGUAACCAGAAUUAAAUUCCUCAUAUUAAGUGGUGCGGGGCCUCUCUGAAACACUGCAGACCGUUAGAAUCAGGUGUUUGGAAGAGAUAAGAAAUGGCAGUUGCAAACCAUGCCUUCCUCACAGGUGCAGAGAUUUAGCAAGACUGAGGAGGCAAAUCCAGACCAACACGCACCACCAGGGCAGCCAGCUGUGGAGGAGGCGCAAGGCGAAAGAUUGCCACUGUUUUGCACUGCAGCUGCUCACUGGUGUAGAUCUACUGUAUUACUCACUCUUAAGUUCCACCACUGUAAAUACAGAACUGCUUUGUUCAAGUCCCUGAGGCUUGAUGAGCCUGCUUUUGACACAGCCUGGAAAUGGAGAUCGAAGAGCAUUGUUAAUCGACAGAAAAGAUGUUACAGAGAUUGUCAGUUACCUUUUGCUGCUGAUACCCAUCAACUCUAA